rnacentral:rRNA from 1 species
UACGUAGGGAGCAAGCGUUGUCCGGAAUCAUUGGGCGUAAAGCGCGCGUAGGCGGCCCUGUAAGUCCGUUGUGAAAGUCAAAGGCUCAACCUUUGAAAGCCGAUGGAUACUGCAGGGCUAGAGUCCGGAAGAGGCGAGUGGAAUUCCUGGUGUAGCGGUGGAAUGCGCAGAUAUCAGGAGGAACACCAAUAGCGAAGGCAGCUCGCUGGGGACGGUACUGACGCUAAGCGCGAAAGCGUGGGGAGCGAACGACGG